rnacentral:rRNA from 1 species
AACGAACGCUGGCGGCAGGCUUAACACAUGCAAGUCGAGCGCCCCGCAAGGGGAGCGGCAGACGGGUGAGUAACGCGUGGGAAUCUACCCAUCUCUACGGAAUAACGCAUGGAAACGUGUGCUAAUACCGUAUACGUCCUUCGGGAGAAAGAUUUAUCGGAGAUGGACGAGCCCGCGUUGGAUUAGCUAGUUGGUGGGGUAAAGGCCUACCAAGGCGACGAUCCAUAGCUGGUCUGAGAGGAUGAUCAGCCACACUGGGACUGAGACACGGCCCAGACUCCUACGGGAGGCUGCAGUGGGGAAUAUUGGACAAUGGGCGCAAGCCUGAUCCAGCCAUGCCGCGUGAGUGAUGAAGGCCCUAGGGUUGUAAAGCUCUUUCACCGGUGAAGAUAAUGACGGUAACCGGAGAAGAAGCCCCGGCUAACUUCGUGCCAGCCGCCGCAGUAAAAC